GAGUAUCAUCAGGAAACUUUAGAAAAUCUGAAGGCAGCUGUUAAGCUCACUUAGAAGUUUUGUGCGGUUAUGUUGGAUACCGUAGGUGCUGAGAUGCAGGUUGUUAAUAAAAGCGAGAAAGCCAUCUCACUUCAGGCAGAUGCUAUGGUUAUUUUGACACCGGAUGCAGGGCAAAAGGCCUCUUCAGAAUUAUUGCCUAUCAAUUUUGAUGUAUUGUCAAAGGCAGUGAAGAAGGGAGACACUAUUUUUAUUGGUCAGUACCUGUUUACUGGGAGUGAAACUACAUCUGUUUGGCUGGAGGU